rnacentral:lncRNA from 1 species
GUGAGCCUGGGCGUGGUGAGCGCGGGGUCCGCAGGCUCCUGGGGUCUGCAGGGAGAUUGGGAGAGGGAAGCCGGGCCCGGACUCCUGGGUCCGGAGGAGGCAGGGGCCAGAUUCCAAUAUGCAAAGAGUGACUGAGGAUGGGGUCUGUGCUCCCGGCUUCUUGGGUCUGUCGGGAGGUUUGGGGCUGGGAUUUGGAGCUCUGGAAAGGAGCUGAGGUGCGGAGCUGAAGUCCAGACAAGACUGGCAAACCCGGGACGGAAGCGGGAACCUAUGGAGGGGAGCAGGCAGGCAUCCGGGGCUGGGGCCCUGGACUCUGGGUGCCUGGGAGGGGCAGGGCUGCCAGGAUGGUGGUGGGCAGAGAGAGCCCAUACUUUUCACCCAGCUGUGAAGAUGCUGAUCUCAGACCCCAAACCCAGAGGGCCUCAGGCGUUCAUCUUCCAUAAGCAUUUAUCAAGAACCUGGUGGCUCAUGCCUGUAAUCCCAGGGUUUUGGGAGGCGGAGACUCAAGGAUUGCUUCAGGCCAGGAGUUUGAGACCAGCUUGGCCAACAAAGUGAGACCCCCCCACUCUCCAAGGAAUUUUUUUUUUUUUUUUUGAGACGGAGUUUCCCUCUUGUUGCCCAGGCUGGAGUGCGAUGGUACCAUCUCGGCUCACCGCAACCUCUGCCUCCCAGGUUCAAGUGAUUCUCCUGCCUCAGCCUCCUGAGUAGCUGGGAUUACAGGCACGCACCACCACACCAGGCUAAUUUUGUAUUUUUAGUAGAGACGGGGUUUCUCCAUGCUGAUCAGGCUGGUUUCGAACUCCCGGCCUCAGGUGACCCGCCCGCCUUGGCCUCCCAAAGUGCUGGGAUUACAGGUGUGAGCCACCGUGCCCAGUCCUCUAAGGAUUUUUUUAAACUUAGCUGAGUGUAGUGGCAUAGGCCUGUGGUCCCAGCUACUCAGAACGCUGAGAUGGGAAAAUUGCUUAAGCCCAGGAGUUCAAGGCUGCAGUGAGCUGUGAUUGCACCAUUGCACUCCAACCUAGGCAACAGAUGGAGACCCAGUCUCUAACCAAAUAUACUUUGAGCAUCUCUUAGAUGCCACGCCCUUUCAGCUCCAAUGGUA